rnacentral:lncRNA from 1 species
AUAGAAGUAAGUUUUAUAACAUGAAUGAUUUAAGGCAAAAAAGAGUAGAGGAAUAAGAUGUUGGUCACAACUUUGAAAAAGAAAAAUGCGAGGAACUUCUCAUUGUGUUGAACACCAAGUCACCAACACACCUUGUGUGUUGCCAUACUUCACUUAUAUCACAACACACCAUCCUCUCUCCAUCUUCAAUCCUCUUAUCCUUCUUCUUAUUAUCUUCUUCAUCAUAAUAUUUCAUCACAUAGUGUUCAUAAUCAUUCCCACACUUCCAUCUAACACCAAUCUUUUGUUCCCAUUCAAUGUCAUUUCAUGGACCCUUGUAAUAUUCUCCUUUGACCAUCCACCAUAUGAUAUAUACAUCACGUGAACAUUUGACACAUACAAAGAUAAAUUAAAGAGUGGGAAUUUUUAAUCUUAGUACGUAUACUUGGCCUUUAAACCAGCGCAGAGGCGAUCCCACAACUCCAUGACUUGAUGACCGGUUAAGACGGAACCAGACUCGAUGCCAUUGAUAGAGAGCAAGUGGCCGAAUCCGUUGGAGUGGAAAAAAACAGUGAAGGACGUGGCCUUGAAGCUCCACGAUAUGGGAUACACUUUCCUUUUCGGGAAAGGCGCAGCCGCCGCCUUCGAGUUUUAGAAAGGCGGCCAUUGUUUCCUUUGAGGGGAUCACGAAAUGGUACUUCUUGUUUGCAUUUCAAUUGGUUUCCCCAACCUGUUAGGUUCCAUAAGUGAUAAAUGAAGGCAUAAUUUAUUAUUUUGAUUUAUAUAUAACAUGUAAAAUAUUAGAAAAGCGCUGCUUCUCAAUCUAAAAUUUUCAACCUUUUGACAAACUCAUUGAACAAUAGUCACAUUUGUUGUUAAAAUGUUUUUUGGGAUGCAUAAAUUUGACAUUCUUUUUAAAAAACGUGUACAUGUAUAUUCUAAAUCCAUACCUUCAGCUAAAUUUGGCAUAUGAAAUUAAUUUUAUAAAAACCUUUUAACCGUUUUAGUUUUCAACACUUGGAUCACCAUAUCAUUUUUCUAGCUUGUUAUAUUUGUUCAUCGAUACGGAAAGAAAAAUUCUUACAUGUUGAGCAUCAUCAGUUUUUUAUUGCUAAGUUAUGAUCGGUGAUCAUAUAUUCAUAUCUACGGAUGUAUUAGCAUGCUUAUAUAUAUAUAAUAUGUAUAGAAAUGAAAAAGAUGUAAACUUAUAUAUAUAUAUAUAGUGACAGAAAUGAAGAGAAAAAGAGAGAGGACGUCACCAACAUAUUGGCAAUGGUUGCCACGGAGAUUUCGAUUUCGAUUCACAUGUAAGUAUGCAACAUAGCGUAGCUGCAUACUUCUUCAAACUUUGGGCGAUUUUUAAACUCAUUAGAUUAGGUUUUUACUUUUUACGGAGUGAUGGGGAAGUAUAUGAAUGUAACUUGUGGCGACUAGAAAAUAAAAGAGCCGAUAACCUCUUGGUUCAUGGAAAUCUUUUGUAUUGGGC